GGAUUCACUUCAGCAGCACAAAUACUGAAAUUGGAACUGCGCAGAAAAGAUUAGCAUGGCCUCUGCACAAGGAUGACACACAAAUCUGUGAAAUACUCCAUGAAAAA
ensembl:snRNA U6 U6 spliceosomal RNA